rnacentral:tRNA from 1 species
ACCUGGGUGGCUCAGUUGGUUGAGCGCCUGACUCUGGCUCAGGUCAUGAUCUCACGGUUCGUGGGUUCGAGCCCCGCAUCAGGCU